rnacentral:lncRNA from 1 species
GUGACUCCCAAUAUAAAAAGCUAGACUUUUGUUCGAAUAAAGUUCACAGUCAUCUGCAUUCUGCAAUAUAGAUAACUCAUUAAAGACGACAUCUAUCAUUACCUACCAUUUUAAACAAGUGUUUCAAAGAUGAUUUUUUUUUUUUUUGCCGCGUCAUUAUGUAUUUUUUUCAAGAGUCAUCUUUAUCGUUUAUUGUAGUGCGAGGGCCUUUAAGUUUUGUACAUAUGUUGCCAUGUUCAUUAAUGAGCAUUCUCUCUUCAAUUAUUUAAUUUGUCGACACUUUACUCCUUCUUUGCCCGAUUACAAUUUUUGUUCUGUUAUGAUGCUCUUCUUUUUCUUAAAAUGCACAAUUUGACACAAGACCAUUAAUC